UGAACAAGCUUGAAGCUGCAUCUGUUACCUGCUUUGGGGUUAUUUAAAGAGGAUUAAGGGUCAUAACCCUGGCUGAAAGUUGAAAGCAGGAUGAAGUGAUGCAGGAGAAAGUCCGAAGCUGUUACUGUGUGUUCCCAUCUAUUGACAGCUGCUGACAGUGACAACUUACCUCCAGCUAAGUGGGAAGAUGAGCAGCUGUUUGUAGAACCAAAGCCAGUCUUCUGCCUGGGUCUCUUCUGCCUGGAUCAUUUGGCUAUGCCAUCUGUGAAAGAGGUGCUGUGUGC